rnacentral:rRNA from 1 species
AGAUUGAACGCUGGCGGCAGGCCUAACACAUGCAAGUCGAGCGGCAGCACGGGUACUUGUACCUGGUGGCGAGCGGCGGACGGGUGAGUAAUGCCUAGGAAUCUGCCUGAUAGUGGGGGGAUAACGUUCGGAAACGGACGCUAAUACCGCAUACGUCCUACGGGAGAAAGUGGGGGAUCUUCGGACCUCACGCUAUCAGAUGAGCCUAGGUCGGAUUAGCUAGUUGGUAGGGUAAAGCCUACCAAGGCUACGAUCCGUAACUGGUCUGAGAGGAUGAUCAGUCACACUGGAACUGAGACACGGUCCAGACUCCUACGGGAGGCAGCAGUGGGGAAUAUUGGACAAUGGGCGAAAGCCUGAUCCAGCCAUGCCGCGUGUGUGAAGAAGGUCUUCGGAUUGUAAAGCACUUUAAGUUGGAGAAGGACAGUUAACCUAAUACGUUAGUGUUUUGACGUUUACCGACAGAAUAAAGCAACCGGCUAAACGUCUGUGCCAGCAGCCG